rnacentral:tRNA from 1 species
GGUCCCUUGGUCUAGUGGUUAUGACGCCGGCCUCACACGCUGGAAAUCCUGGGUUCGAACCCCAGAGGGACCA